CGCGGCCUAUCAGCUUGUUGGUGGGGUAAUGGCCUACCAAGGCGACGACGGGUAGCCGGCCUGAGAGGGCGACCGGCCACACUGGGACUGAGACACGGCCCAGACUCCUACGGGAGGCAGCAGUGGGGAAUAUUGCACAAUGGACGAAAGCCUGAUGCAGCGACGCCGCGUGAGGGAUGACGGCCUUCGGGUUGUAAACCUCUUUCAGCAGGGACGAAGCGUAAGUGACGGUACCUGCAGAAGAAGCGCCGGCCGACUACGUGCCAGCAGCCGCGGUAAGACGUAGGGCGCGAGCGUUGUCCGGAUUUAUUGGGCGUAAAGAGCUCGUAGGCGGCUUGUCGCGUCGACUGUGAAAACCCGCAGCUCAACUGUGGGCCUGCAGUCGAUACGGGCAGGCUAGAGUUCGGUAGGGGAGACUGGAAUUCCUGGUGUAGCGGUGGAAUGCGCAGAUAUCAGGAGGAACACCGGUGGCGAAGGCGGGUCUCUGGGCCGAUACUGACGCUGAGGAGCGAAAGCGUGGGGAGCGAACAGGAUUAGAUACCCUGGUAGUCCACGCUGUAAACGUUGGGCGCUAGGUGUGGGGGACCUCUCCGGUUCUCUGUGCCGCAGCUAACGCAUUAAGCGCCCCGCCUGGGGAGUACGG
rnacentral:rRNA from 1 species